UUGGAGGGCAAGUCUGGUGCCAGCAGCCGCGGUAAUUCCAGCUCCAAUAGCGUAUAUUAAAGUUGUUGCAGUUAAAAAGCUCGUAGUUGAAUUUCGGGAUCAAUUUAUCGGUCGUGCCUACGGUAUGAACUGGUACAAUUGGUUUCUCCCUUCUGACGAAGCAUGAUGCCAUUAAUUUGGUGUCGUGGGGAAUCAGGACUGUUACUUUGAAAAAAUUAGAGUGUUUAAAGCAAGCAUUAGCUUGAAUACAUUAGCAUGGAAUAAUGAAAUAGGACGUUUGAUCCUAUUUCGUUGGUUUCUAGGAUCGACGUAAUGAUUAAUAGGGAUAGUUGGGGGCAUUAGUAUUCGAUUGUCAGAGGUGAAAUUCUUGGAUUUAUUGAAGACUAACUACUGCGAAAGCAUUUGCCAAGGAUGUUUUCAUUAAUCAAGAACGAAAGUUAGGGGAUCGAAGACGAUCAGAUACCGUCGUAGUCUUAACCAUAAACUAUGCCGACUAGGGAUCGGAUGAUGUUAAUUUUUUAAUGACUCAUUCGGCGCCUUACGGGAAAC
rnacentral:rRNA from 1 species